AUUGAACGCUGGCGGCAUGCCUUACACAUGCAAGUCGAACGGCAGCACGGGAGCAAUCCUGGUGGCGAGUGGCGAACGGGUGAGUAAUGCAUCGGAACGUGCCCAAUCGUGGGGGAUAACGCAGCGAAAGUUGUGCUAAUACCGCAUAAGAUCUACGGAUGAAAGCGGGGGAUCGCAAGACCUCGCGCGAGUGGAGCGGCCGAUAUCAGAUUAGCUAGUUGGUGGGGUAAAGGCCCACCAAGGCGACGAUCUGUAGCUGGUCUGAGAGGACGACCAGCCACACUGGGACUGAGACACGGCCCAGACUCCUACGGGAGGCAGCAGUGGGGAAUUUUGGACAAUGGGCGCAAGCCUGAUCCAGCAAUGCCGCGUGCAGGAUGAAGGCCUCGGUUGUAAACUGCUUUGUACAGAGCGAAAGGUACGUCUUCUAAUACAGGAGGCGUCAUGACGGUA
rnacentral:rRNA from 1 species